GUAGGAGAACUUUAAAAAAUGUUGAAAAUCAAAAUAUAUUCAACAACAAACUUUUCAGUAAUUUUAAAACUCAAAUAAUAAGCAUCGAGGACAGACUUAUCCUGUAAUUGUUUGGCUAAAUAAAAAAAAUGGAAUGUAGAAAAGUUCUUAUUGCAAUUGAUGGGAGCUCGUACGCAGAAAAAGCCUUUGAAUUUUACAUUGAGAACAUAUACAAAAAAGGAGACUUUCUUCUUUUGGUUCACUGUGCUACACCACCAAAGCUUCCACUCUUCAGUUUUUCAGAACCCUGUGUGUUGCCAUCGGACGAAUGUUAAAUUCUAUUGUUAAUGAAAACAAAAAAAGUUCACAAAUUAUGGAAAAGUUUGAAGUAUUAUGUGAAUCUGCAAAAAUUCCAAAAAAAACUGUUGUCGCAACCGGUAAACCUGGUGAAGCUAUCAUAGAAGCUGCAAAUUUAGAAGAAAUAAACCUCAUAGUUAUGGGGGCGCGAGGUUUAAACGCUUUAAGACGUACGUUUAUUGGUAGUGUGAGUGAUUAUGUUCUCCAACAUUCUAAUGUUCCUGUUACAAUAGUUCCUCCAAUCGUCUGAAACAAACGUUAUUCAAAUUUUCUUUUAAUUCUUAUAUAAUUUAUUUCUUUAUAAUUAUUAUAUAGUCUAUACUGUAUAUAUUACA